UCCGGACGAGAUGAGCAGGGAGGGCAUUGUCAGGAUAGAGGCAGCCUGGACAAAGACAUGGGAGGUGGGAGAUGGAAUAUGGAAUACAUUUUAUGCAUCAUUUUCUUUUUUUAAAGCCCUUAUCUUCAAUACUGUGUAUUGAUUCCAAGGCAGAAAGGGCUCGGCAUUGGGGGUUAGGUGACUUGUUCAGGGUCACCCAGCUAGGAAGUAUCUACGGUCAAAAUAAUAAUUUUUUAAAACUCUUCCAUUUUAGAAUCAAUACUAUGUAUUUGUUCCAAGGGGGAAGAUCCAUAAGGGCUAGGCAAUGGGCCGUAGACAACCAGGACAUAUCUGAAGCCAGAUUUAAAUGCAGAGACAAGAGGUCCUGGGUCUCCGUCCACUGAGCCACCACGCUGCCCCCUUCUUUACUCAUCAUUGCUUCCAUCUUGUUCUGAAGUGCUGGCUCCGAGGUAAAGCCUGGCCUGUGCCUCCAGCAGGACGGAGGGAGAGGACCCGAUGAGUUCCAGCAGGGAAGAUGCAGACCCCAGAGACGCGGGGCUUCCGCUCUCUCACACUCGGAGCAGAGCUUGGCCAAACGCCCAAACCUGGUGUCCUGGGUCGGCGUCCUCCCGGCCAGCCCACGAGGUGUCCGACAAGGAUGUGUACAUUUUCUCAUGGAAGGCAUUCCAGUGCGGGAUGUGACGUCACUGCUGAGUGGCAGAUGCUUUCCUGGGAAAAAAUGUUCCUGCUUGCAGAUCUGCGAGACACAGAGGAAAGCAGGAGUCAGAGCCUUCUUUGUUCCAAUAGGCCGUCUGGGGUGCGAGGAGGAUUGGGGGAUUUCUGGAGCAGAAUUCUGCUGUGGGGGCGAGAGAAGAUGCGAUUAUUAGACGCUCAUUUGACAGAUGAGAAAAAUGGAGGCCAACAGGAUGAAGUGACACACAGCAAGUAAGUAUCUGAGAUUGCUUUUGAACUCAGGUCUCCCCAAAUCUAGGUUUGGCAUUCUAUCUACCCUGUACCCAGCUGCCCCCUGAAGGCAGAGGAUCUGGGUUCAGCUACACCCCCUGAUAUUUCCUACUUCUGUGUUCUUAGGUAAGUCACCUAACUUACCUGUGCUUAAUUUUUCCAGUAAAUCAGCUUGCUUUCUUUUGAUUCACUGUGCCCCUUUCCUUUUAACGUCUCAAAAGUUCUGAAUUUGCCCACCCCUCCUUACCUGUACUCACAGGGGGUCUGCAGCACCCUGGGUGGGAUCCUAACUGUCCAAAUUUGGAGAUAGCCUUUUGUUCUGGGGGAGCUUUUUUAUAUCUGGGGAGAGGGGCUUACCUAGGCAGUUGCUGUGGGGUGGGUCAGUUGCUGUGGGUCAUCCCACAGGGGAUGGGGUCUUGGAGGUGGGACGGAAUCGGCGGAAUGAUGAAUGGGACACAGCUUUCGCAUUCAAUCUGCAGCACAGGUUUCACAGGAUAAACUGCUCCACCUUGGCAGAGGCCUGGAUUUAUUUUAUACCCUCAUGAUCACACAUUUACUUGGCGCACAGUUUGAUUCUCAACAUACAUAUUUCCAUAGAACCUAACAACAGAUAGGAAGCCUAGGGAGAUAGUCAAUGAAAUAUCAUUGCUAAGUGCAGGAUCAGAGGGUAGAAUCAACAUGACCCAGAUAUAGGUUGGGGAAUUCAGAGCACAGAUUUGCCAGAAGUUUUUAUGCCUAGAAAAGAGGGUCCUAUCUAAGUGGGUAUAUAAAAAUCCUUUGGUUUAAUUUUGUAAGUGGGAUUUCCUGGUAAUAUCUGGGGGGGGGGGUACAGAGUGGGACAUCUGUAUUAACCCUGCAAGCAUGUUGCUCUCAUCUAUUUUUCCUGGGGCUAAGUAAGAAUAAUAAUCAUAGCAAUUCCAAUAAUAAGGGGAUGUUAAUAAGGAAAGUCACUUGGGGUUUCCAUCCUUACUGGGGGCUGCUUUGCAGUCCCCAGUUUCCACGUGUGACCGUGUCAAACAGCAUGGCUCCUGGCACCUGGAUCCCAGUUUCUUUCUCUGUAAAACUGUGGGAGACAAGAAGACCUCUGAGAUCCCUCAGAGCUCUGGAUCUGGGAGUCUAGAACCCAAGCAUUUAUCCUUCCUUGGCCUCAAUGGAUUCCUCAUAAAUGAAGGGGUUGGACCUGGUAGGCUCAGAAAUCCUGCCCCAGCUAGGUUCCUCAUUCCCUGAUUUUGUCUCCUGCAAUAAAGAAAAGUGUGAGGGAAGGUCUAAAGUGCA
ensembl:lncRNA